CCAUUUCCCGGUGCCGUGACCCCGCCGUUCACCGAUUUUCCCAUUUUUCCCGUUUUCCCCCCGUUUUUCCCAUUUCCCCGUUGUUUCCUGGUGCCGUGACUCCGCCCUUCACCGUUUUUUCCCGUUUUUCCCGUUUUUCCCGUUUUCCCCCUGUUUUCCCCCCAUUUCCCCGUGCCCUGCCCCCGCCCUUCCCCCUCCCCCCCCAUUUUUCCCGUUUCCCCCCCGUUUUUUCCAUUUCCCCCCUGUUUUUCCCAUUUUCCCCCGUUUUUCCCAUUUCCCCCGUUUUUCCCAUUUCCGCCCCGUUUUUCCCGUUUUCCCCCCGUUUUUCCCCCAUUUCCCGGUGCCGUCACCCCGCCAUUCACCGUUUUUCCCGUUUUUUCCCCGUUUUUCCCCGUUUUUCCCCGUUUCCCGCCGGGUCAGAGCGAGCAGGGGCUGCUGCACUUCCUGGACGUGUCCGAGGGCCGCGCCGUGACCCCGCCCUUCACCGUUUUUCCCNUUUUCCCCCCAUUUCCCGGUUCCGUGACCCCGCCAUUCACCGUUUUUUCCCGUUUUUCCCCGUUUUUUCCCCGUUUUUCCCCGUUUCCUGCCGGGUCAGAGCGAGCAGGGGCUGCUGCACUUCCUGGACG
rnacentral:lncRNA from 1 species